UACGGGGGGGGGCAAGCGUUGUUCGGAAUUACUGGGCGUAAAGGCUCGUAGGCGGCCAACUAAGUCAUACGUGAAAUCCCUCGGCUUAACCGGGGAACUGCGUCUGAUACUGGAUGGCUUGAGUUCGGGAGAGGGAUGCGGAAUUCCAGGUGUAGCGGUGAAAUGCGUAGAUAUCUGGAGGAACACCGGUGGCGAAGGCGGCAUCCUGGACCGAUACUGACGCUGAGGAGCGAAAGCCAGGGGAGCAAAUGGG
rnacentral:rRNA from 1 species